CAAUAGCGUAUAUUUAAGUUGUUGCAGUUAAAAAGCUCGUAGUUGGAUUUCGGUUAAGAGCGACCGGUCCGCCGUUUGGUGUGCACUGGUUGGUUUUAACUUCCUGUAGAGGACGUGCUCUGGGUUUAACGACCUGGACUCGGAGUCUACGUGGUUACUUUGAAAAAAUUAGAGUGUUCAAAGCGGGCUUACGCUUGAAUAUUUCAGCAUGGAAUAACACUAUAGGACUCCUGUCCUAUUUCGUUGGUCUCGGGACGGGAGUAAUGAUUAAGAGGAACAGUUGGGGGCAUUCGUAUUUCACUGUCAGAGGUGAAAUUCUUGGAUUUAUGAAAGACGAACUUCUGCGAAAGCAUUUGCCAAGGAUGUUUNCAUUAA
rnacentral:rRNA from 1 species